CAUAAUACUGACACUGAGGCUCGAAAGCGUGGGUAGCAAACAGGAUUAGAUACCCUGGUAGUCCACGCCGUAAACGAUGUCUACUAGUCGUUGGGUCCCUUGAGGACUUAGUGACGCAGCUAACGCAAUAAGUAGACCGCCUGGGGAGUACGGCCGCAAGGUUAAAACUCAAAUGAAUUGACGGGGGCCCGCACAAGCGGUGGAGCAUGUGGUUUAAUUCGAUGCAACGCGAAGAACCUUACCUGGUCUUGACAUAUCUAGAAUCCUGCAGAGAUGCGGGAGUGCCUUCGGGAAUUAGAAUACAGGUGCUGCAUGGCUGUCGUCAGCUCGUGUCGUGAGAUGUUGGGUUAAGUCCCGCAACGAGCGCAACCCUUGUCCUUAGUUACCAGCGGGUUAAGCCGGGAACUCUAAGGAUACUGCCAGUGACAAACUGGAGGAAGGCGGGGACGACGUCAAGUCAUCAUGGCCCUUACGACCAGGGCUACACACGUGCUACAAUGGUAGGUACAGAGGGCAGCUACACAGCGAUGUGAUGCGAAUCUCAAAAAGCCUAUCGUAGUCCAGAUUGGAGUCUGCAACUCGACUCCAUGAAGUAGGAAUCGCUAGUAAUCGCGGAUCAGAAUGCCGCGGUGAAUACGUUCCCGGGCCUUGUACACACCGCCCGUCACACCAUGGGAGUUGAUUGCACCAGAAGUGGAUAGCUUAACCUUCGGGGGAGCGUUCACCACGGUGUGGUUGAUGACUGGGGUGAAGUCGUAACAAGGUAGCCGUA
rnacentral:rRNA from 1 species